AACGAACGCUGGCGGCAUGCCUAACACAUGCAAGUCGAACGAGACCUUCGGGUCUAGUGGCGCACGGGUGCGUAACGCGUGGGAAUCUGCCCUUGGGUUCGUAAUAACAGUUAGAAAUGACUGCUAAUACCGGAUAAUGUCUUCGGACCAAAGAUUUAUCGCCCAGGGAUGAGCCCGCGUAGGAUUAGCUAGUUGGUGAGGUAAAGGCUCACCAAGGCGACGAUCCUUAGCUGGUCUGAGAGGAUGAUCAGCCACACUGGGACUGAGACACGGCCCAGACUCCUACGGGAGGCAGCAGUGGGGAAUAUUGGACAAUGGGCGAAAGCCUGAUCCAGCAAUGCCGCGUGAGUGAUGAAGGCCUUAGGGUUGUAAAGCUCUUUUACCCGGGAUGAUAAUGACAGUACCGGGAGAAUAAGCCCCGGCUAACUCCGUGCCAGCAGCCGCGGUAAU
rnacentral:rRNA from 1 species